rnacentral:lncRNA from 1 species
UGGAAAUCCGCAGCGGGUUUGCGUGAGGGAGAGGCUCCUUGUAGCCAGAUCCAGAUGCCCUAAUGGGGGUGUUUGAGGGGGCAGGGAGGGAAUUUAUGAGGGGACAGGGCGGGAGAAAAAGAUAAAGAGGGGGUAGAGGGGGAAUGAUGGGGCAAGGAGGUUUCAUAAGGGGGCGGAGAGGGUGUUAUAAGUAGAGAAGUAUUUAGACAGAGCACGUGUUUAGAAGAGGGAGUCUGUUAUGAGUAGACAGAGGAGUUCAAGGGUCAGGAAGCUGGUUGCAGAGGGAGAGAGAUGGUGCUAGAGGGAGACAGGGCAGGCCUUUAUAAGGGGACAGAGAACAGCCUAUGAGUGCACACAGGACGAUUUAGAGUUUACAGAUGCUCAAAGAAGAUCAUAGAGGAGCCCAGUGAGAGGUUAUGGGGGUUGAGGGGAAGGGAGGAGUUUAUAGGUGAGUGGGAAGUGUUAGAGCAGGACCGUGACAGACUCAUAGGGAUGAAGUGAGGGAUAUUAUAAAAGCGACAAGCAGAGAGCUAUUGUAGACAUUAGAGGUUUUAUAAGGCAUUUGAAAUCUUGCAUGACAAGCCCCCCAAAGACUACAUGUGCCUCUCGAUUUUGGCCUUCAUCCUGUGUUUUCCGAUAGGCAUUGUAGCCUUGAUCUUCUCUGUCCAGACAAGGCACUGCAACAAAUGGAAUGAACGAGCCUUGGCAGCUGAGACCUCCCACCAAGUCUUCUACAUUGCAGCCUUGGGGAUUGUUUUGGGAAGCCUCAUCAUGCUCAUCCUCUUGAUUUUCAUCAUGACGGACUUAUUUUCUCGGUAACCUCCUCCUCAGCUCAUGAACCGUCAAAUAUAUACAACAACGUUACUUACCUUGGCUCUAGGUAUCCAUUUGGGCCAAAUGGGACAACAGUUCCUCAAUGUCUAGAGUGCCAAGUGUUGCCAGCCUGAGCCAGCACCUUGGAGUUGCUGAUGGGGGAAGGAAGUAUAGCUCAGGCAGCCCAUUUGACCUGAGCUUAAGAACAACUCUGGGACCCUGCCAAGGGAUGGGGGCCAUGGGAGAGAGGGUAGGGUACUGUUUCCCCAGGGCAGCCUCCCCUCCUGCCCACAUUCACACAUUCAUG